rnacentral:lncRNA from 1 species
CUCAUCACAAAAUGAUAUCACGCACGCAUGGGUUCAUCCAUCUCCGCCAGCUGAUAGAGAUCACAGUUAAUUAAUUCAAGAACACGUUUCGAUCGAUGGACGACGGAGCAAUGGCGGCUUAAGAGGAUCCUCCGAACGUGUCGAAGAUGGUGGUGUGGAGCGGGUCGCUGAGGUGGGUGGCCCAGUUGUUGAGCGGGCCCUUGCCGGUGGCGGCGGCCUGCACGGCGAAGCCGAGGAAGGCGACCAUGGCGAGGCGCGCGUGCUUGAUCUCCGCCAGCUGCAGCCGCUCCUUCUUCUCCGGGUCGGCCGCCAGGCCGAGCGGGUCGAAGUAGGAGCCGCCCGGGUAGAGCCUCUUCUCCGGGUCGAGCUCGGCGUUGCGCUGGAACUCGAUGUAGCCGAUCACGAGCACCUCGAUCCAGAUGAGUGUCGAGAUGGAGAAGGGCAGCGGCUGCCCCAGGUAGGACGACCCGUCCACAAGCUCAACCUGCCAGCCAUCAAUAACGUUCAGGUUAGACGCUUGCAUAAGGAUGGAAUGAAACAAUUUUGGUGCACAUAUGUAUAUAUACAUACCUUGCCGGCGUCCUGCCAGGUGACGCCGGUGAGCCACUCGACGGAGAGGGCGCCGAGGGUGGCGAGCAUGGCCCAGCGGCCGUGGAUGAGCUCGCACUCGCGGAAACGCUGGAGGCCGAAGACCUCGCUGUAGGGCUGGAACGGGGUGGACUUGACGUCGGAGGACUCGAAGCGGGUGCCGAUGAUGCCGCCGGCCUCGUUCUUGGCCAGGUUCUGGUCCAGCGAGUCCAGCUCGAACUGCAG